rnacentral:rRNA from 1 species
CCUACGGGCGACAGCAGUGAGGAAUAUUGGUCAAUGGACGAGAGUCUGAACCAGCCAAGUAGCGUGAAGGAUGACUGCCCUAUGGGUUGUAAACUUCUUUUAUAUGGGAAUAAAAUGUUCCACGUGUGGGAUUUUGUAUGUACCAUAUGAAUAAGGAUCGGCUAACUCCGUGCCAGCAGCCGCGGUAAUACGGAGGAUCCGAGCGUUAUCCGGAUUUAUUGGGUUUAAAGGGAGCGUAGGUGGAUUGUUAAGUCAGUUGUGAAAGUUUGCGGCUCAACCGUAAAAUUGCAGUUGAAACUGGCAGUCUUGAGUACAGUAGAGGUGGGCGGAAUUCGUGGUGUAGCGGUGAAAUGCUUAGAUAUCACGAAGAACUCCGAUUGCGAAGGCAGUUCACUGGACUGCAACUGACACUGAGGCACGAAAGUGUGGGUAUCAAACAGGAUUAGAUACCCCAGUAGUC